AUUUUUUUUGUUUGUUUGGCAGGUUCUUUAAAAAUAUUUCAUAAAAGUCGUUUUCAAUUAAACAAACAUACAUUUGAGAUUUUUUUUAUUUUUCAUUAUUUAAUUGAGUUUAUUUUAUAUCUAUAAUUUUAUAUUUUACAUUGUUUUUACAUAUAUUAAAAAUAUUUUGUUAAAUUUAAGUUCAUUGCAACGAUUAUUUUUUAGUUACAUGACUACCAACUGAGUAUUUUUUAUUUAAAAAUGUGACUUUAACAAAAUUGACAAAAAAAAUCAAC
rnacentral:lncRNA from 1 species